rnacentral:rRNA from 1 species
GCUCGUAGGUGGUUCGUCGCGUCCGGUGUGAAAGUCCAUCGCUUAACGGUGGAUCCGCGCCGGGUACGGGCGGGCUUGAGUGCGGUAGGGGAGACUGGAAUUCCCGGUGUAACGGUGGAAUGUGUAGAUAUCGGGAAGAACACCAAUGGCGAAGGCAGGUCUCUGGGCCGUUACUGACGCUGAGGAGCGAAAGCGUGGGGAGCGAACA